rnacentral:lncRNA from 1 species
GAUACUUCAUCUAGUUCGGGGGGAGCGACGACAUUGGAAUCGGUUAAGGAUGAUUUGCGAAAAUUAAAGAAGAAGGUGAACAACAUUGGAAGGAAAGUUGAGUCUAGCAUCAAAAAGUUUGAAUUAAGUAUCAAAAGAUUGAUGGAUAAGAUGGGGUGUCGACAUGAUGAUAUUUUGGAACCUACUCCAUCUUCUGCCUCGUAUCAGCGGUCAUCUUCACGACAUCCUCUCAUUCCACCGUCUGGUGAUGCUCCUGAGGCUGGGGGUUCUGGAGCUGGUGAUGAUGGUAACGAGGACACGGAGUGAUUUCUUCGUCGAGCUUAGUUUUUCUUUCACUACAUUUGCUGUUUAGGACGAUGUUUUAGAUUUGCUUGCUUAUCUUUCAGUAGUAUAUUUUUACCUUCGUUUUAGGCCUGUAACUAUGACUAGACUACUCUUGUGCUUUCUAAUAUGUUUUCUCUCUCUAUUUGCUUUAUUUUGGCAAAUUUUGACAAAAAGGGGGAGAGCGUAGAUGGAGGGAGAGAGCAUGGAUGAACAGGCAUUGAACUAAAGCAGAGGAUGAUGAGUUCAAAAACAAAUGUGGAGAUAUGAAUAAAGGGGGAGAAGGCAUAAGAAUUUAGUGCUAAUCAUUUUUGAAUGAAUUGUUUUGCAGGAAAUCAAGACUUCAAGACUCCUAGUUGUGUCUAAGUCAUAGAGUCUGUUUUAGGAGUUUUGAAAUGUAUUUUGAGUUUCAAAUUGUAUUUGGAUUACACGCGAGGAGUUCAAUGUUUUGGUGAUGACAAUUGAACUUCGUUUUUUUAUAAUGUAAUUGUUGAGUUUGUGUGUGUUUUGUCACAAAAUUGCCAAAGGGGGAGAUUGUUAGGUCCUAUGUGUUUGCAAGUUUCGUGGGUCGAGUCGGAGUCUUGAAAAAGUCCGGAGCGGAGUAUUGAAGAUCGAAGAAUCCAAGACUUCGAAGAAUCGGAAAGGACGCAAAACACGCAAAACAUGAAUCACGAUACUUAGGUAAGUUUUAAAUCUUAUUUAUGGUGAUUCAUACUUAAUUAUAGAUUUUAGAAUCAUGUUUUCAAGUUGUAAUUGAUUAGAAAGUUUCUAAGAGCUUAUAAAACUCGAAACAAUGCAUUU